rnacentral:rRNA from 1 species
CCUACGGGAGGCAGCAGUGGGGAAUAUUGGGCAAUGGGCGAAAGCCUGACCCAGCAACGCCGCGUGAAGGAAGAAGGCUUUCGGGUUGUAAACUUCUUUUGACAGGGAAGAGCAGAAGACGGUACCUCUCGAAUAAGCCACGGCUAACUACGUGCCAGCAGCCGCGGUAAUUCGGAGGUGGCAAGCGUGGUCCGGAUUUACUGGGUGUAAAGGGCGGGUAGCCGGGCUGACAAGUCAGAUGUGAAAUCCGGGGGCUCAACCCACGAGCUGCAUUUGAAACUGUUGGUCUUGAGUGUCGGAGAGGCAAGCGGAAUUCCUAGUGUAGCGGUGAAAUGCGUAGAUAUUACACAGAACACCGAUUGCGAAGGCAGCUUGCUAGGCCGGAUCUGACACUGAGGCACGAAAGCGUGGGUAGCAAACAGGAUUAGAUACCCGUGUAGUC